rnacentral:rRNA from 1 species
AUGAGGUAUAAAUCCUGGGACAUUUUGAAGGGAAUCAGUAACCUGAGUGACCUCCCGUGGGUCUGUAUCGGGGACUUUAACGAAGUGCUACGUCCAGAUGAGCAGCAGGGUAUAGGUGAGAGAAGAAAUGCUCAGAUCCAGGGGUUCCGAGACGCUAUUGAUGUGUGCAUCCUAAUGUACAUAGGCUAUCAAGGCCACUUCUGGACAUUUGAAGAGAAGGUUACAGGGGGAAGCUAUACCCAGGUCCGAUUAGAUCGAUCUCUGGCUUCUGCAGAAUGGAGUGAAAGGUUUCCAAAUGCACAUGUAAAACACUUAACAUCAGCGACUUCAGAUCACUACCCCAUCCUGUUGGAGUUUCAAGGGAGAGAGGCACCGAAACACAAGAAGGAGUUUAAGUAUGAGCUAAUGUGGGAAACUCAUGAGGCAUGGAGAGAUACAAUCGUGUCUAGCUGGGCAGGAGGAGAACCGGUGGAGUUUAUGGCAGAAUUAAGAGCAAAGCUGAAACGGGUAUCGGUGCAGCUAGGCUCCUGGAAUAAAAGUACAUUCGGAUCAGUAUAG